rnacentral:misc_RNA from 1 species
GAAGCAGUGUUCAGUGUUUUGUGUUUUUACUUUUUACUUAUUUCCUGCUCAUAUUUAAAUUUAAAGGUUGAAAAGUUAUUUUUAGUUAUUACAAAUGCCCGAAAUAGUCAUGCAAAUAAACGAUGUACAUCAAUGAAAAAUCCUUGGUACAUUACGUCUACCAAUUCAUUUACCCAUAAACAUACAUUUUCUUCAAUUCUCAACAGUUGUUGUUUGCGUGUUUUGUUCUGAAUGAGAAGUUUGAUUGAUUGGAGUUAUCUACUGUGUUGUACAUGGAUAUAAUCAGAACGAUUUAAUCAGUUUUAAAAAGUGUGAUAAUGUGAAUUAAACAUUUCUCUUAGUUAAAUAAUAUUUAUUAUGGUGUCCUUAAGAUUUAAAAAAGCGUUCUGUGUUAUGUACUCUGGAUUACUUUUUGUAUCUGGAAUAGUUCUAAUAGUAGUCUCCUCUGUUUUAUUAUACAGAGUGUUUCAUCACUUUGAUUAUAUACCAGGAAGUACAGUUGGUCCUUUGAUAUUAUUAAUAAUUUUAGGAUUUGGACAUAUAUUUUUAACAUGGUUGGGAAUAAAAGGUCCAACAUUGGAACAUACUUUCCAUAUAAUUUUGUUCAUAGUUUUUACAAGUAUUUUAUUAAUAACCGAAUUUAUAAUUGGAGUUUGGACGAUGAUUUUGAGGGAUGGAGCUCCUACUCAUUCCGUUGAUUUAAUGACCGAAGCUUUCAAUGAAAUGAUUAAGGAGCAAUAUUACAAUAAAGAUUUCGCUCGAAUGCAAGCAGAGAUCGAGUGUUGUGGUUUAGAUGGAGCAGCGAAUUACGCAAACUACUUUCGAACUGAUGAUGCUAUUAGACUAUCAUAUAUGUCUUGUAAAGACAGUAACGUACCAAAUAACAAUGUAGAUUUUGAGCCAUACCCAGAUGGUUGCCAGGACGCUUUUCCCGAUUAUCUACAGUUACUUCUGUUAGAAGCUGCUUUGAUGGGAUUUAUCUGCACAGGUUUACAGGCUUUUGGACUUUACGUCAUUUGUUCCUUCAACCGAAGUUUGAAAGAAGAACGUUCAAGGAGAGCACGGCAAAGAGCAGAGCUGCAACGACAACUGUCAGCACAAAGCCAACAAUCCCAUACACUACUACCACAACCUGAAAUAGGCGAGGUAGGAUUGGUACCACCCCCAAUAGGAAUAUCUCAUUUGGCCUCAUCACCAGAACAGGAACCCAUGCGACCUCCACGCGAACGAGCCACUGCACCACAACCACCUGCACCAGCAGAUCCGGAAAAAGUAUAAAUGUUGAUAAUUUAUUCUAGUGUCUAUAUAACUAUCAUCAGUUAAUCUCUUUUGAGAUUUUUAAUGUAAAUUAUAUUUUCUGUACAAAUCUGUCUCAAAAUUUAAUUUGAUUAUGUCUGCCUUAGUACACGCAGCUUGCAUAGUUAGUUGAAAGAAGAAGUUAAUCUCCGUUAAGAUUGUUAGAAUCAUUAUUCGCAGACUGCUGCGAUUGAAGCUGAGCAAUCCUUUCUCUCUCAACGGGACUUGGUCUCGCUACUAGAAUCUCAGCUUGUUUUUAUCACUCGCUGUUCUUCGACACUCUUCUAACUAACUACUACUUAGCCCUUGAGGUUCAUCUGAUUAUGUGAACUCAUAUAGACAUUGAACAUCACAUCUUGCUGCUUAUUAGAUGCUAUUGCCAAAUUCCAAACGUACUUGCUUGUUAAACCGUAGCUAUGAUGGUUAAGAGACAUUAUCUGAGAUCUUUAAGCCUUUAUGAGAAUAUCUCGCUUCAGCAGCUACUUGUGAGAGGAAACUAAUCCUUGUUCACAUUAUUUUUCCCUUUAAGGGACAAAUUUUCCCUCCCUCCAGCUUCUUCUUGGCCUUCCUCUUUUCGUUCUCCCUUGUGGUGUCCACGUCAAAAUCUGUUUGGGGAUCCUGUUAUCUUGGUACUGCGGGUUGUUACCCCCGAUGAUGGUGUUAAUUAAGUUGAAACACUAAUUACCGAAAUAUACUUAUUUAUAACACUAUGUACGACAGUAACUAGUUGGUGUCGGGAUGGAUAAUGUCUGUACUCUAACCACGUCGGUUUCUGAAUAAUGAAUAAUCCCUUUCUUUACUUUCUACGUAUCUAUAAAUAAAUCCCAAUUGUUUGUUAGGAUUUCAUACUUGAAUGUGACCAUGAAAAUACUAAUAGUAACAUAAUUGCUGACUCCGUUGUUUUCAAAACGAGUGGCCUACAUUGCAGAAGCAAUGUCACCCAUUUACGUAAUGUAAACAGUACAUGUAAAUAAUAUUUGUUUGAGACUUUGAAAAAUUAAAUCGAUAUGGAUUACUCAUAUUUUUUGGAUGCUAAUAUAAAUCCUGUACACUGUCAUCUGGCUGCUGCUCAUCUCCAGAAGUCCAUUUCAGUUCCUAGUAACAUUUUCUCUGUUCUUUGUUUGAGAGGCCAAAUUUCACUGCCAUAUGUGAUUACACACUUUUAAGUAUGGUAUUGUAUAUGAGCUGUUUGUUAGCUGUAGAUAUUCUUUGGUCCCACAGAAUGCCGUUCAUCAUGGAUAUGGCUUUUCUACCCUGUAUGUUAAUGUGUCUUUUAUAGCAGCAUGAGUGUUCCAUCUUGAGUUAUCUUCAUGCCCAGGUACUUGUAUUCAUCACAGUGUUUAAUUUCUACCCCAUCGUCUAAUGUAAUGGACUACUUUGUCCCUCCAAUACACACGGCUUCAGUUUUCUUAAUGGUGACUUCGAGAGCCCAUUUUUUAUAUUAUUCUAUUAGCUUCCGCAUCAUUUAGCUGAAGUCGUCAUGAUCCUGGGCAAUCAGAAUUUGGUCAUGAGCGAAACAUACAGUGUAUAAUGUUGUCUCGUCAGUGAGAGGAAUUCCCAUGCCAUUGCAUUUGCUUUUCCACAGCUUGAGUGCUUGUUCCAGAUAGAGUUUGAAAAGGGUAGGCGAAAUUCAGCAAUCCGGCUUCAAUCCUUUUGUGACCUUAAAUCCCUCAGACAUCCGUGAUCCAGUUUUAAUUUUUGCAGUCGUUCCAUUAUACAGACUUUGGACUGCUUUGAUAAUAUACAGGGUGUCCACGAAAAUAGUGCGUUCCUUUAAGGUAUGGAUAUAAUACACAAUGUAGAACAAAAAAGUCCUAUAACAUUUUUUUCUAAAUUUACCGUUUCCAAAUAAAAUUACAUUGUUCGCCAUAUAAGCGAACUUUUAUUUUCAUAAAAUUAACUAAUUUGGCAUCACUGUACAAGAACUGUUUGUGAUUUAGUUUAUUGACACCACAAAAAUGUAGGUCAGACAGGUACACCUGCAAAAUAAUUGUACCACCCCAUGUUUGAAAAUCCAACAAAACAAGAAUUUGUUUGUUUGUUUAGGAUGAAGACAGGGUUUAAUGUAAAUACUUAUGGCUAAAAUGCUGCAACUAUUUUUGAACUGUGAUUGUCUAUGUUUAGAUUUUUGUAUACAUAGUUGUCAGAUUUCAAUUUGCAUACCAAAAUGUAUUUUGGUUUUUUAGCCAAACGGUUGCAUUUAGAAAAAAAUGUUAUAAGACUUAUUUGCUUUACAUGGUGCCUUCUACCUAUACAUUUAAGGAACGCACUAUUUUCGGGGACACCCUGUAGAUACCAUUGCACGUCAUUAUCUACGUCAGAGAUCUAAGUUGACAUUGUUGCCCAAUUACAAAAAAUUCUUGAAUUGAAAAACAAAUUAAUAUUCAAUGUAAAUAAAUAAAAACAUUAGAAAUAGAAAACAAGAAUUAAGUUAUAAUCUUACGUUAUAGUUAUUAAGGUACCAAGGGUAUUAUAAGGAUAAUAACGCUUAAGGUCAAUGGUGUAUUUACCGAGGGCCUUCGGCCCGAGGGAUAUACGUUGACCGAAAGCGUUAUUAUUAUAAUACCCGUGGUGCCUUCAACUUUUAAUGUCCGACUAAAUUAUUCGUUAUAUGCGAAAAAUUUGAAUGAAUUUUGAAUUAAUUAGUUUUCAAAUAAGUACAUUUACCAGUAACAUUAGUAACGUAAUUGUGGUAACCAUAGUUUUACUUAGGUUGAUAUUUGCCAACUUGACAGUAUCUAAGUUGUUAAUUUAAUUUAAAAACAAAUCUGAAGUGUCAAUACCGCAACUGUCAAAUAAAUGUUACCAACUUAUGCCAAAGUGUCACAUUUGUUUGAUCGCAGUUAGAGUGUAAUCCGAACAAGUGUGCUUUAUAAAAACGCUUUAUAUUCCACUUAAACAAAUUAAAUGAAACAAGUUGGGGUAUGCUUCUUUAAAUUUACAUACAUUAAUAGAAAUAUUCCAAUAUUAUUUUUACGCGUAUACAGAGUGAUUGAUUAGUAGGGUAAAGCUCAAUAGCUCCGCUAUAGUAAUAGAUAGCAAUAAAAGUUAAUAACAAAAAUUUUAGCCACCUUUGAGCUUCACAUUACAAAAUUAGUUAGAAUGUUACAGGGUGUUCGAUAACACAGUGGCAGACCUAACUUAUGUUUUUUUAAAUGGAACACCCUAUAUUUUAUUUUAUAUUCGAAAUCCUGUUAACUUCUCCAUCACAAAAAUAUAAAGGUUUGUAAUGUUAUACAGGGUAUUUACAAAGUUACAACCAAUUUUGUAUGAAAAUCGUAACAAGUUCAACUCCCUGUAUAAAUAAAAAUAAGCACAACAGCAAUGGUUUAUUGAUGCCAUAUUUUUUUAUUUAUUGUCAAAAUUUUUAAGAAUUAUUGAUAUUGCUAAUUUUCUUUAUAUCAAAUACAGGGUGAGUCAAAACGCAAGUACAUUAUUUUCUCAGUAAUGUUAAAUGAAACACCCUGUAUUUUAUAUCAUUAUUGAAAAGUAACAUUAAUGUACUUUAAUUUUUAUAUAACAUUCCCUAUGCCCAAAUUUAUUAGUUUUCGAGAUAUUUUCAUUUUUCAGAGGAAAUUAUUGUAGGUGUUUAAAUUUACCUAAACUUUAAGUAAGCCAUGACUGAAUUGACAAUUGAAGAUUACCGAUUAUCAAUCCGUUAAUCAAUGUAACACUGUAGCAAAUAAAGAAAUAAAAAUAAUUUAUUAGUAAUACAUUUUACAAACAAAAACACACCACUACAUGCAACAUUUUUGAAACAAUUAAAAACUAUCUUUUUAUGUAAAUGCAACAAAUAAACAAAGAAAAUUAGUAAUAAAUUUUACAAAAAAACACACAAACACAAAAUACAAUAUUUUGUGAAGACAAUUAAACACUACUUUUGUAUGUAAAUGUAACAAUGCAACAAAUAAAGAACGAAAAAUAAUUUAUCAGUAAUACAUUUUUCAAAAAAACAUGUUUGAAAAAAUUAGAAGCUACUUUUAAUAAAAUAUUUUUAAUAUUUAAUUACAUAAGGUGUUCAAAAUUAUCUCCUAACACAUUUAUGUGCGCCUAAAAACGAUCAUUGAAUGAGCUACUUACUCUACGGAGCAUUUGUAAAUUAACACAUCGAAAUACACUUUGUAUUCUAUUUUUCAUCUCAUCCCUUGUUGUUGGAGGUAUUUUAUAAACUUCAUUAUUAACGUAACCCCAAAAAAUCAGCCCAGUUUAUUAAAUUCUGGUGAUUUGGGUGGCCACGCUACUGGUCCAUUGAAAAAUGAAAAUAUCUCGAAAACUAAUAAAUUUAGACAUAGGGAAUGUGAUCUAAAAAUUAAAGUACGGUAAUUGUACUUUUCAAUAGUGAUAUAAAAUACAGGGUGUUCCAUUUAAAAUUACUGAGAAAAUAAUGUACUUGCGUUUUGACUCACCCUGCAUUUGAUAUAAAGAAAAUUAGCAAUAUCGACCAUUCUUGAAAAUUUUGAAAAUACGUUAAAAAAUAUGGCAUUAAUAAACCAUUGUUGUUUUGCUUAUUUUUAUUUAUACAGGGAGUUGAACUUGUUACGAUUUACAUAUAAAAUUGGUUAUAACUUUGUAAAUACCCUGUAUAACAUAACAAACCUUUAUAUUUUUGUGAUGGAGAAGUUAACAGGAUUUCGAAUUUAAAAUAAAAUAUAGGGUGUUUCAUUUAAAAAAACAUAAGUUUGGUCUGCCACUGUGUUAUCGAACACCCUGUAACAUUCUAACUAAUUUUGUAAUGUGAAGCUCAAAGAUGGCUAAAAUUUUUGUUAUUAACUUUUAUUGCUAUCUAUUACUAUAGCGGAGCUAUUGAGCUUUACCCUACUAAUCAAUCACCCUGUAUAAUAAAAUAUGUCUAGUUGCUGUAAUUCCAGUGUACUCAACUAAACGAUUCUAAAAAGGAACACACCUGCUACUUAAAUAUUUCGUGUUUGUAUCAUGUGACGUCACGUGCUAUGAUGCGGAUGACGUGCAACGGUAUCUCUAUUGUACGGACUGUAUUUGUCAACAAACGGCCAUCAACAAGUUUAAGAGCAAAGGAACCAAAUAUGGCUACAAUUUUAUAAGCUAACUUGAAUGAUCAUGUCAAAGUCAAAAAACAAUAAUGAAUUACGAGAGUCGAUAAAUAAAUUAGCCAAAUUUAAACGAAUUUAUAAUUUUGCGUAUAGAGAAAACAAACCUUUUAAAAGGUAAUACGUCUACGUAUAUUUUAGAGCUGUAGUUUUUUCCACAAAAGCUGUAGAAAUUUGUUAAUGCGUAAUUUUCUAACAUGUCGGCCAACUCUUUUAAUUAUUUAAAAGAAAAAAGUCUGCUAAUCCUAUAUUAUGUAUAAGUGCCAAUUAGAUAAAUACAAUUGUUAAUGAUAAGCUAAAAGGCUUAGAGAGACGAGUUAGUUGUAAUAUGAGAACUUUUUCUCUAAUUAACAUAUUACAUUUUUUCUUCGACCUUAUAAUGCCAAUUGUCUGCACGAAUGAUCUGACAGCGGUAAUGAAAUAACCCACUGAUGCUGACCACAUUGUUGCUGUUACAUUUUAUAUAUUUUUUGUUCCAUUGUUCUAAAUAUUCAAGUUUUUUGGGCUUUGUUGAUUUUUGAUAUAUUAUUCGCCAUCUUACCAUCCGGUGCUAUUCGAGUCCGGAUCUUCUGAUACACCACGAAAUAAUCCUGUCUGCUAUAAGUUGAUUUAUAAUAUACAGGGUGUUUGGUAAAGAAUGGGCCAUAGCUUAACGUUAGAUUCCUGAGCUUAAAAUAGGUCGAUUUAAGCUAACUUAUCUUAGUACGAAAGUUGAUAAUAACCGAAAUACAGGGUGUCAAAAUUAAACUUUUAUUUUAUUUAUUCUUAAAUAUUUCCUAACAGGCAUAGGAUAAUAACACGAAAUUUGGUAAGCGGGGGUUUUUUGGGACGGGAAAUCUAAAUUCGCCACCAAAAUUGAUGUAUUACGCAUAGAGCGCCACAUACGCCUUUCAGCGCUCAUUCAUAGAACAUGAACAUAGGUUCAAUUUUGUUUAUUACCCACUCUACAUACUUUUUGUAUAAAAACUUUUAUUCUCUUAAUAUCUGUACUUAAAAAAAGGUAUACUAUAUUCAUCUCGCUAAACUCAACCAUUUUCGAGAUAAACGUAUUUUAAAUCUGCGAGGCAACAUAAUUUUUUGCAUACUAUCAUUGUAGUAACACCCAAAAAAUAACUUAAAAUCAUAAAAAAAUUAAAAAAUGUAUCGCAAAUUUCUUUAAAUGGAAUUUGCGAUGCAAUGACAUAAAGGACCAGGCAACACUCCUUAUGGAAAAGUGGUCCCGGUCAAAUUUGAUGAAAGUUUGGUCAAUGAUACUUCUUGAUGUGUAGAUUAAAAAAGUCCAUGGCACCUGGGUCUGAAUAACUACUAUUCUCGAGUUACAGCCUUCUGAAAUUAUUGGCUUCGGGUGCUCGGUUUACGUUAAGUGCACUAAUUUACGGUCAAGUGAACGAAAAUAUUUAUUAUUAGAAGAAGAGAAACUCAUGUUCUUCAUACAUACUUGCGUGUUGUAUAUGGAUUUGUGGUCAAAAAUAGUUGGAUCGUAUUUUAGUUUUCAGAAAACCUCCGAAAAGUCUUCAGAAAACUAAAGAAGUGCGGUAUAAAAUGUGCUGCUAGAUCGAUAUAAGCAUUAUCAUGAUUUCAUGAAUGCUUCUCAGUUAUGAAAUACCAGCAAAACUGCAGUUCGGCUUUAUCUUUAGAAAACUACUGAACAGUGGCGGAUCUAGGAGGAAUAGGGGUAAUUCCACCGGUAACAUGUUCCAGAAUUAAUGAAAUAACUUUAUUUAACGAAAAUGAACGAGAUGGAGCCAUCAAAACACAUUUAUAACCAAAGAGUGGAUAGCUUGACGAAAAGACGUAAGCCCAGAGCACGGGCGCCCAUAUAAAAAUUUUUAGGGGGUGGCAAACGUGAAGAUGUUGCACAUUAUAUUUUGUAUACUUUGAAUAACCAAUAUAAUUCAAAGCACCCGAAAAGCCAGGGGGGUCACGGCCCCCCUGCCCAUGGGCAUGGGCGCCCAUGGCCCAGAGUACGAUUUAAGGACCAGAGAAGAUGAGUUACGGGUGUUAAGAGUACGAAAUUGGAAAACCAAGGCGGAGGAUAGAAUGGAAUGGAAGCUGAUUCUCGAAGAGACCGAGGUCCACCAGGGGUUCUACAGCCAAUGAUGAUGAGCUUUUUAAUACAAAAUAUUAUGGAGAAUAAUUUUGUAGGGUUAUUUUUAUAACAACUAUAAUAUUCAUACUUAGGUAUAAUCAUAUAGAAGAAAUGGUCAAUGGAGAAGGCUUCAUAAUCAUGUUUUGCUAACUUACCUGUUUUCGACUUAGACUACCUAAAAGACCUUACGAUUGGGAUAUAUCAAAUUAAACUGGCACCAUCUUACAUACAAGAUAAAAUAAUAAGAGAAAACGACGAAGAGUUUCAAAUUGAUGAGAAUAUGGAUAAACCGGGAUUCAUGAGUUCGAACAUUUUCUAGGUUUCGGCAAGCUACAAAACACCAAGUAUUCAUUUCCUAUACGGUUGAUGAAGAUAAUGAUGAAGAUGAGCCUGUAGAAGAACCGAUUAACGGGUACUACUGUACCUGUCAAUCUGGUGCGAGAACUGUAGGUACUUGUGCUCAUAUCACCAGUGUCUUAUAUGGUUUUUAGGCUUUGCAAGACAUCAACCCAAUGUUAAGUAUCCUUAUAGGUCGUUAGUUAACACGACGUAUGGUGCAUCUAACCGAAAUCAGCAAAAUGUUAAAAUACGAAUAGUCGAAGAUGAUUUAAACCCGUUUUUUCCAUAGACAAUUGUAAUUAAUAUUUAGCAUUUACAAACUACCUUUUACUUUGUUUUUUUUUGUAUUGAAAUCAAGUCCAUGUCUACCUGUCUUAUAUCUGAUAUGCGGGACAAGUUUCAUGUCAACUAAUGUAUUUUUUAUGUUUCAACAAUUUUUUCUUUAAUUAUUCUGGAACAUAUUACGAGUGGAAUUACCCCCAUCCCCCCUAGAUCCGCCACUGUUCAGUAGUUUUCUAAAGAUAAGGCGGAACUGUAGUUUUGCUGGUAUUCCAUAACUGAGAAGCAUUCAUGAAAACAUGAUAAUGCUUAUAUCGACCUUUUAUACCGCACUUCUUUAGUUUUCUGAAGACUUUUCGGAGAUUUUUUGAAGACUAAAAUACGAUCCAACUAUUUUUGACCACGAAUUCAUAUACAACACGCAAGUAUGUAUGAGUAACAGUUUACAGUCAAACAGUAUACAGUCAGUUUACAGUAACAGUAACAGUCAAAAAUGAGUUUCUCUUCUUCUAAUAAUAAAUAUUUUCGUUCACUUGACCGUAAAUUAGUGCACUUAACGUAAACCGAGCACCCGAAUCCAAUAACUUCAGAAGGCUGUAACUCGAGAAUAGUAGUUAUUCAGACCCAGGUGCCAUGGACUUUUUAAUCUACACAUCAAGAAGUAUCAUUGACCAAACUUUCAUCAAAUUUGACCGGGACCACUUUUCCAUAAGGAGUGUUGCCUGGUCCUUUGAGAACUGGCACAAUUAUUAUGGUUUCAAGUUUAUUUUUUGGGUCUAUGUAAGUAUCUAAGUAAGUUAUUAUGCAAAAAAUUAUGUUGUAUCGCAGGUUUAAAAUGCGUUUAUCUCGAAAACUGUUGAGUUUAGCGAGAUGAAUCUAGUAUACCUUUUUUAUGUAAAAAUAUUGAGACAAGAAAAAUUUUGAUUCAUAAAGUAUGUAGAGUGAGGGAUAGAAAAAAUUGAACGUAUUAAAUGAACGCUGAAAGACGUAUGUGGCGCCCUCUGGGUAAUACAUAAUUUUUGCUGGCGAGUUUAGAUUUCUCAUCCCAAAAAACCCCUGCUUACCAAAUUUCGUGUAGUUAUCCCAUGCCUGUCAGGAAAUAUUCAAGAAUAAAUAAAAUAAAAGUUUAACUUUGACACCCUGUAUUUCGGAUAUUAUCAACUUUCGUACUAAGGUAAGUUAGCUUAAAUCGACCUAUUUUAAGCUCAGGAAUCUAACGUUAAGCUGUGGCCCAUUCUUUACCAAACACCCUGUACAUAUACGCAUAAAGUCUUUGAUGUUACGAUUACUUUAUUACAUAAUAUACAACUGGAUUAUAAUGACAAUAACCUAGAUAUAUCUACACGACUAGUAGAUUGUAGUUUCAUAUAGCAAAUUUAUAAUACUUUUACAGACAUUUAUGUUUAGAGGUCGACGAAGAAAUAAGUAUCCUACUCAUGUUACCAAGUUCUGUUAAGAAGAAAAAUGUUUUUAUAUUUUAUAAUCGUAUUUGCAUACUGUAUUUGUUGUAUGGCCACUAGUGCAGACUAUAUGUACAGGAUUAUUCACUAUAUUUUGACCCCCCUGUAAACUGCUUUAUUUACAGAAUUGGAAAAAAAUGUAAAAUAAAAAAGUUACACAAUUUUUAUGUAGUUUUCGAAAUUGAUAGUAGAAAAACAAAGAAGGUGCAAACAAAAUGGCCUCAGAUGGUAACUUUGUUAAUUUAAAUGGUAUUAAAUGCUAAUUUAAAUAUCUAGUAUCUCGCUUAUUCCUUCAGAUAGGCCCAUCAAACUCAAUAUGGAAAUGUUCGUUACAGAAUGUUCUAUUCAAAUGUGUAACCAUAUACAGGGUGUUCCAUUUAAAUGAACAAAGUUAACAUCUGCUGCAAUUUUGUUUGCACCUUCUUUGUUUUUCUACUACCAUUUCUACUAUCAUUUUCGAAAACUACAUAAAAAUCGUGUAGGUUUGUAUUUUAUAUUUUUUUUCUAAUUCUGUAAAUAAAGCAGUUUACAAGGGGGUCAAAAUAUAGUGAAUAACCCUGUACGUAAGUAUUGUCUUUAAAUUAACUGUGCAAGUGCGUCUGUGUGUAGGUAAAGUUGUCCUUUAUUGAUAUUAAUGUAUUGCAUAUUAUUAUAAUUAAUAAUAUUGUUGCCGCUA